UGGUAGCUCAGAGGAUAGAGCAACUGCCUUCUAAGCAGUGGGUCGUGGGUUCGAUCCCCGCCCGGG
rnacentral:tRNA from 1 species